AUGUUGAGUACCUGCAGAGGCCGCACAGGGGUUGAAGAUGGCAGCUCACCCAGGCCUCCUGUCAGGCGGUUGAAGCUGACAUCAAGAACAAGGAUGCUGCUGGAUGAUAUUAACUCCAGUGGCAAGCCACCGGACAGCGAGUUCCGGGACAGGUUGAGGCGCAAAAGCCCGGUGAGGUUGCCAAGGAACGGCGAGAUGGGCCCCUCGAGGCCUCGAGAAGCCAGUGAAACAUCAGUAACCUUCCUAUCUUGGUUGCAGGUGAUCCCUUCCCAUGUGCAGCAGUCAGUGUCGUGCCGCCAUGACGCCGUGAGGCCGCCGUUCCACGAUAGCACGGUGAGGAGCUGGAGAAGGGAGCUCUUCUCCUGCUCGAUGCAAGAGCUGGUGGGAGAGACCAAAUAG
rnacentral:rRNA from 1 species